UUUCCUUCCAAACAGAUGGCAGGUUUACUCAACAUAUGGGUGGAACCGACCACAUAUGACACAUUUGGUCAACUUGCUGGCUCGUGAAAUCAAGGAGGGAUGAACCAGUAGCAACAUCCAAAAAGAGAUUAUCCUUCAGUUCUUCAGAAGAGGAAUAGGGGGAGUGACCAUGGAUCUUUAAUUGAGAGUGUUACAUCCUCUGGAAUCGGUUAGGAAGCUGCAGAAAGUUAUGCUUUUUAUGGUGAAAAGAAAUACCAACAAAAGUUCUUCCUCCUGAGGAUUGAGCCAUCUCCUCCCUUGACUUCAGAAGAAAGAUGAGAUACAUGAAAGACAAUGCAGAAAAGCAACAAAGUGUCAUGCAUAAGUCUGUGACUUUGAUGGCUUAGCUGUGGCUCUGCAUCAGACAUUGCAUGUCUCUCAAACCACAACUCUGAAAAAAGAAGCAAUGGCUCCCAGGAGUCUGCUCUUUUCUUACUGGAGAGCAGAAGAGUGCAAAGAGAGACUGAAGGGCUCUAUUUUCCCUCCUAUCCCCGCAUCUCAAUCUGGGUUCCAGCCCCACAGCUUGGACUGAGGUAGAAACAACUCUCUCAGCUCCCUCUGCCAAUUUUCUUCAACCAGGUAAUGACUGCAGGGUGCUCUGUUAACAGAGUCCACAUUUCAAGGGCAUUCUGCCAACUGGAGAGUAACAAAUGAAAACGAAACUAAUUUCAUGGAAGUGAAGUAUUGAGAAACCUCUCCUCUUGGCUCUCAAUUUAAAACUCAUGCCAUUAAAACUUACUGUCUUUAGUGUUUAAACCUUUUUUAUAUCCAGCACACAAGUUUCAGCCAAGGACCUUCAAACAUCUGUCCUGGACUUCUGCCAGGCUCUUGAGCUACUACCAUGCAGUCAAAUGAAGAAGGAAAAAAAUGAUAAUAAAAUUGUCAUCAUCCCUCUA